GAUGAACGCUGGCGGCGUGCUUAACACAUGCAAGUCGAACGGAAAGGCCCAAGCUUGCUUGGGUACUCGAGUGGCGAACGGGUGAGUAACACGUGGGUGAUCUGCCCUGCACUUCGGGAUAAGCCUGGGAAACUGGGUCUAAUACCGGAUAGGUCCACAUUUUGGAUGGUGUGGUGGAAAGUUUUUCGGUGUGGGAUGAGCUCGCGGCCUAUCAGCUUGUUGGUGGGGUAAUGGCCUACCAAGGCGUCGACGGGUAGCCGGCCCGAGAGGGUGUACGGCCACAUUGGGACUGAGAUACGGCCCAGACUCCUACGGGAGGCAGCAGUGGGGAAUAUUGCACAAUGGGCGCAAGCCUGAUGCAGCGACGCCGCGUGGGGGAUGACGGCCUUCGGGUUGUAAACUCCUUUCGCUAGGGACGAAGCGCAAGUGACGGUACCUGGAGAAGAAGCACCGGCUAACUACGUG
rnacentral:rRNA from 1 species